rnacentral:rRNA from 1 species
GAUGAACGCUGGCGGCGUGCCUAAUACAUGCAAGUCGAGCGAACGGACGAGAAGCUUGCUUCUCUGAUGUUAGCGGCGGACGGGUGAGUAACACGUGGAUAACCUACCUAUAAGACUGGGAUAACUUCGGGAAACCGGAGCUAAUACCGGAUAAUAUUUUGAACCGCAUGGUUCAAAAGUGAAAGACGGUCUUGCUGUCACUUAUAGAUGGAUCCGCGCUGCAUUAGCUAGUUGGUAAGGUAACGGCUUACCAAGGCAACGAUGCAUAGCCGACCUGAGAGGGUGAUCGGCCACACUGGAACUGAGACUCGGUCCAGACUCCUACGGGAGGCAGCAGUAGGGAAUCUUCCGCAAUGGGCGAAAGCCUGACGGAGCAACGCCGCGUGAGUGAUGAAGGUCUUCGGAUCGUAAAACUCUGUUAUUAGGGAAGAACAUAUGUGUAAGUAACUGUGCACAUCUUGACGGUACCUAAUCAGAAAGCCACGGCUAACUACGCG